CCUACGGGAGGCAGCAGUGGGGAAUAUUGGGCAAUGGAGGAAACUCUGACCCAGCGACGCCGCGUGCGGGAUGAAGGCCUUCGGGUUGUAAACCGCUUUCAGUAGGGAAGAAGCGAAAAGUGACGGUACCUACAAAAGAAGCACCGGCUAACUAUGUGCCAGCAGCCGCGGUAAUACAUAGGGUGCAAGCGUUGUCCGGAAUUAUUGGGCGUAAAGAGCUCGUAGGUCGUUUGUUACGUCGGAUGUGAAAACCUGAGGCUCAACCUCAGGCCUGCAUUCGAUACGGGCAAACUAGAGUUUGGUAGGGGAGACUGGAAUUCCUGGUGUAGCGGUGGAAUGCGCAGAUAUCAGGAGGAACACCAAUGGCGAAGGCAGGUCUCUGGGCCAAUACUGACACUGAGGAGCGAAAGUCUGGGGAGCGAACAGGAUUAGGAUACCCUGGUAGUCCAGACCGUAAACGGUGGGCACUAGUUGUGGGAACCUUCCACGGUUUCUGCGACGCAGCUAACGCAUUAAGUGCCCGCCUGGGAGUCGAUCGCAGAUAAACUAANGAAUUGAACGG
rnacentral:rRNA from 1 species